rnacentral:rRNA from 1 species
CGGGACGGGUGAGUAACGCGUGGGGAACCUGCCCUAUACAGGGGGAUAACAGUUAGAAAUGACUGCUAAUACCGCAUAAGCGCACGGAGCCGCAUGGCGCUGAGUGAAAAACGAUAGUGGUAUAGGAGGGACCCGCGUCUGAUUAGGUAGUUGGUGAGGUAACGGCCCACCAAGGCGACGAUCAGUAGCCGGACUGAGAGGUUGGCCGGCCACAUUGGGACUGAGAUACGGCCCAGACUCCUACGGGAGGCAGCAG